AGCAGCCGCGGUAAUUCCAGCUCCAAUAGCGUAUAUUAAAGUUGUUGCAGUUAAAAAGCUCGUAGUUGAAUUUCGGGGUUAGUAGGUUGGUCAUGCCUCUGGUAUGUACUGGUCUCACUGAUUCCUCCUUCCUGAUGAACCUUAAUGCCAUUAAUUUGGUGUUUUGGGGAAUUUGGACUGUUACUUUGAAAAAUUAGAGUGUUUAAAGCAGGCUCACGCUUGAAUACAUUAGCAUGGAAUAAUGAAAUAGGACGUUUGACCCUAUUUUGUUGGUUUCUAGGAUCGACGUAAUGAUUAAUAGGGAUAGUUGGGGCAUUAGUAUUCAAUUGUCAGAGGUGAAAUUCUUGGAUUUAUUGAAGACUAACUACUGCGAAAGCAUUUUGCCAAGGAUGUUUUCAUUAACCAAGAACGAAAGUUAGGGGAUCGAAGACGAUCAGAUACCGUCGUAGUCUUAACCAUAAACUAAUGCCGACUAAGGGAUCGGAUGAUGUUAAUUUUUAAUG
rnacentral:rRNA from 1 species